UACGUAGGGGCCGAGCGUUGUCCGGAGUUAUUGGGCGUAAAGCGCGCGCAGGCGGCUUGACGCGCCCGACGUGAAAGCCCCCGGCUUAACCGGGGAGGGUCGUCGGGUACGGUCAGGCUUGAGGGCGGGAGAGGGUGGUGGAAUUCCCCGGUGUAGUGGUGAAAUGCGUAGAUAUUGGGAGGAACACCAGUGGCGAAGGCGGCUCACUGGACCGGAACUGACGCUGAGGCGCGAAAGCGUGGGAGCAACAGG
rnacentral:rRNA from 1 species